GGGUGGUCCGGUGUUCGGUAGUUUGGAUUCGUUUUCUUGGGCAAUAGUGGUUGGCAUUAACAGGCAAGUCAGUUCAUUUGUACAUCCAUGGUAUGCAAUUGUUAAAGAAAUCCAGGCGUAGAUUGUAGUCCUGUUACAAUAGACAUUUAGUAGAUUUACCCCUUCUUGUGAAUAAGACUAUGGGAAGCCAUUUAAAUAAUUGAUGAACA